AGCCCAAAAGUCCAGUCUCACUCCCACCAUGUCCCCGCAAACAGCACUGAAUUUAUUUCCAGGCAACCAGUGAGCAAGGCUGAGAACUUGUCCCAGGUUACGAGACUCCCAGGGGUGAGACAAAAUGUGCCAUGAGUGAUGGCCUUUGGUGAUCUACAGACAUCCCUGGCUCUAGCAAUCAUUUGUGUAGGGAGGUACAGUCAUGUGCCGCAUAAUGACAUUCAGUCAAUGACAGACUGCAUAUAUGAGGUGGUCCUGUAAGGUGAUAAUGGAGCUGAAAAAUUCCUACUACUGAACGACAUCAUAGCCAUUGUAACAUCAUAGCACAACCAAUCACCUUUUCUAUAUUUAGGUACAACACUGAAGGCACCGCCCAUGAAAGAAACAACUGAUAGGCUGAACUCCAUUAAAAUUAAAAGCUUUUGCUCUGCAAAUACAAGAGAAUGAGAACACAAACCAUGGCUACAGAAGUUCUGGAAAUAUACCAGACGUGGCAAUGCUGCAGAGGAAGGAGGGAGAAUAUGCCUUUCUGCAGAUCUUUCUUGGAGGAGAGGCAAGUUUCUCCAAAAUUACUCAGAUGAUUUCCCCUCAUGUGUCUCUGGCUGGAAUUAGGUCACAUGGCCAUUCCUG
rnacentral:lncRNA from 1 species